UUGCCUACGGGGGGCAGCAGUGGGGAAUCUUCCGCAAUGGGCGCAAGCCUAACGGAGCAAUGCCGCGUGAACGAAGAAGGUCUUCGGAUUGUAAAGUUCUGUCCUUAUCGAAGAGAGGGUAUAGAGUGAAAAAUGAUAUACUAGGACGGUAGAUGAGGAGGAGGCCCCGGCUAACUACGUGCCAGCAGCCGCGGCAAUACGUAGGGGGCGGGCGUUGUCCGGAAUCACUGGGCGUAAAGGGCGCGUGGGCGGUAAUAUAAGUCAGAUGUGAAAGGGGGGGGCUCAACCCCUAGAGGGCAACUGAU
rnacentral:rRNA from 1 species